rnacentral:tRNA from 2 species
UAUACAUUGGUGUAAAGCAUAAAAAGUUUUGAUCUUUUAGGUUUUAGUGAAAUUCUAUUAUGUAUAU